AUAUUCUCAAGAGUUCCUCCGAACACUUCAUUGAAAAAAGGUUCUCUAUUUUCGUAAUUUUUUUUUUACUGAAGUGUUUGGAGGAACUCCAGAUGAUAU